AUACGUGCCAGCAGCCGCGGUAAUACGUAUGGUGCAAGCGUUAUCCGGAUUUACUGGGUGUAAAGGGAGCGUAGACGGAGAAGCAAGUCUGGAGUGAAAGCCCGGGGCUCAACCCCGGGACUGCUUUGGAAACUGUUACUCUUGAGUGCCGGAGAGGUAAGCGGAAUUCCUAGUGUAGCGGUGAAAUGCGUAGAUAUUAGGAGGAACACCAGUGGCGAAGGCGGCUUACUGGACGGUAACUGACGUUGAGGCUCGAAAGCGUGGGGAGCA
rnacentral:rRNA from 1 species